CAAUUUCCUUGGCAGGGGAGCUACCAUGAUCACGAAGUUGGUUUUCCCAGGGCGAGGCUUAUCCAUUGCACUCUGGAUGUGCUGACCCCUGCAAUUUCCCCAAAUAUGGGAAACUCAACUGCAUAAUUUGUGGUAGUAGGGGACUGUGUUUGCGCUCUCCCCGG
ensembl:snRNA U1 U1 spliceosomal RNA